CGCAAUUAGCGAGGCACCUUAUUCAGCAGCACCGCCGCUCCUCGGGCUUUUGUUCCUUCGCUUCUCCGCCUCGGCCGAGCCCUCCCCGGUGCCUCCUGUGAGCUCCCGGCGCCUCCUGAAGUUGCUUUGCAAGAUUCCUCCCCUCGAAAUAAAAAAAAGAAUCGCUGGAGUCCCGUGGGUGAAGCUGAGGGACGAAAGAGGGAAAGAAAAGGAAAAAAAAAAAAAAAAGGAGGAAAGGAAAAAAAAAAAAACCACCCAAAAGUCUCCGGAUUCUCCAGCUCCCGGUGAUGCCCCAGUUCACCUUCGCCUGUUUCUGCGGCCUCCACGGCUUCUGCAAGAUGAAGAGGAAGAAGGAGGAGGCUGGCGGGGGGCAGGAGACGGCCGUGUGAGGGGCGGGACCCCUCCUGUCCCCCCGGCUCCCCGGGGCAGAGCCAGAUCCCGCCCUGUCCUUGCUGGGGAUGUCACCGGGAUGUCACCAAGGUGCCACCACCACCCUGCCAGGACUACAAAUUCCUACAAAUCCCAGUGCCACGGAUUCCUGGUGUUCAUGGAAGGAGCCUCCACCUCAUUGAGAAAGCAGAAAAAUGAAUUUUUUCCCAGCAGCAAUAAUCCUUUUUUAACCCCAACACAGCAAGGAAAGGAUCCAGCUUCCCUCAGAGCUGCCCUCCUCACAUUCCCAUUGGGAAUUUGGGAAUUUGGGCAAUUCCUUCAUCCUGGUGGCAGCCAAGAGAUAAAAAUCCCCAAAACCCCACAAAAAACCAAAAAAAGCCCAAAACCAAAAUCCCCUUUUUUAACAUUUAUCUCUCCUGGUCAAAACUCUCCCUUCUCCCUUCCACAGGGAGGAUUUUCUUCCAGCUAUUCCCAGUCUUCCUGUAGGCCAAAAUAAUCGGUGGCUGCCCCCAAAAUUUGGUGUUUUUCCGAAUGUUCUGCCAAGGACAAAGCUCCAGGUGUGCCCAGGACAUCUCCAGUUGCUCUGGGGAAAUGCUGAUUUUGUCCUGUUCCUAUUUUUGCACAUCAGCAGAGCCCGUUCCACCUUUCAUCCCCAGCGCUGCCCUUGGCGAGGACAUUUGGGCCAAAAAAAACCCCAAAAUCCAAGGAAGCUGGUGGAACUCCAAGGGCAUUUCCUGAAUGUAACUUUAUUUUUAUGCACAAGGAUUUGUGGUGGUCACAAAGGGAUGUGUUUGAGGAUUUUAACAAGUUGGGAUUAAUCCCUGCUGUGGAAUUGAUAUGGAGUGUAAAGAUAAAGGUGGAAUUCCAGCUUUGUUUUAUGCCAGGAUAAAUCCACAAGGACACAGAUAUGAAGGAAAAUAUGAAUUAUAGAGAAACCAGCUUGGACUGACACCCAUCCCUGAGAUUUCUCCUGUUUCUCCAGGUUUUUCCUAUGCAAAAAAACCACACAAAAAACCAGCAAAAACAAAGCCAGCUCAGCAGCAGGUCCUGACUCAACAAAGCCCCGCUUAAACCUCAGGCUUUGCCUCGGGGUUUUGCUCCACCCCAUCGAUUUUCCUGAUUCCAGCCUGGAUCGAUCCCUGGAAAAGAGGGAAAGGCUCAGAACCCUCCUUGAAGCCUUUCCUGACCUGGAUCAAAGCAUUAAUUCUCUUUUUAUUGUCCUUUUUUUAUCCCUGCUGCCCGGAUUUCUUUGGGAAAGGACUCCCAGGAUGUUCCUGAGGAGUCUCCCAGCCCAGGAGCCAUAAAAUCUGUACUGUACAUUUAUUUUUUGGGGUAUUUAUUUUUUAAUAUUUUUAUUAUUUUAUUAUUUUAAAAUUUUAUUUAUGGGGGGCAAAGUAGAUAUGGCAUUUGUAAAUAAGCACAGACAUCUUCCACGCACAGAGCAGAGAGCUUCCUAUAGGAAUUCCUAUGCUACAAGUAUAAAUAAAUUAAUAAAUUAAUACA
ensembl:lncRNA